GUCUGUAUGUAGUUAUAUGGAGUCUAACCUGCCCGUUGAAAGAGUUUGAAAGGCCGCGGUAUAUUAACUGUGCAAAGGUAGCAUAAUCAUUAGCUUUUUAAUUGGAGGCUUGUAUGAAGGGUUGGACAAAGAAAAAUCUGUCUUUAAUUUUGAGUUUGAAUUUAACUUUUAAGUGAAAAGGCUUAAAUAUUUUUAAGGGACGAUAAGACCCUAUAAAUCUUUAUAUUAAACUAUUUUAUUAAAAAAUAAUAUUUGUCUAGAUUUAAAUAAAACAUGAAAAUAUUUUGUUGGGGUGACAAGAAUAUAGAAUUAACUGUUCUUUAAUUAAACAGAUUUGUUUGUUUGUUUAGUAGAUCCUUUUUAGAGAUUAAAAGUUUAAGUUACUUUAGGGAUAACAGCGUUAUUUUUUUUGAGAGUUCAUAUCGAAAGAAGAGUUUGCGACCUCGAUGUUGAAUUAAGAUUUCUCUGCGGUGCAGUUGUUGUGGGAGGAAAGUCUGUUCGACUUUUGAAAUUUU
rnacentral:rRNA from 1 species